rnacentral:tRNA from 1 species
GCCUCGUUAGCUCAAGUGGCAGAGCACAAAUUUCGUAAGUUUGGGGUUGGUGGUUCGAUUCCACUACGAGGCU